GGGUCAGUAGCUCCAAUUGGUAGAGCGGCGGUCUCCAAAACCGCAUGUUGCAGGUUCGAGUCCUGUCUGACCUG
rnacentral:tRNA from 1 species